CCUACGGGAGGCAGCAGUGAGGGAUAUUGGUCAAUGGGGGAAACCCUGAACCAGCAACGCCGCGUGAGGGAAGACGGUUUUCGGAUUGUAAACCUCUGUCCUCUGUGAAGAUAAUGACGGUACCAGAGGAGGAAGCUCCGGCUAACUACGUGCCAGCAGCCGCGGGAAUACGUAGGGAGCCAGCGUUAUACGGAUUUACUGGGUGUAAAGGGUGCGUAGGCGGCCCUGCAAGUCAGAAGUGAAAUCCAUGGGCUUAACCCGUGAACUGCUAUUGAAACUGUAGGGCUUGAGUGCAGGAGAGGUAGGCGGAAUUCGUGGUGUAGUGGUGAAAUGCGUAGAGAUCGGGAGGAACACCAGUGGCGAAGGCGGCCUGCUAGGCUGUAACUGACGCUGAAGCACGAAAGCGUGGGUAGCAAACAGGAUUAGAUACCCCAGUAGUC
rnacentral:rRNA from 1 species